rnacentral:rRNA from 1 species
UACGUAGGGCGCAAGCGUUAUCCGGAAUUAUUGGGCGUAAAGAGCUCGUAGGCGGUUUGUCGCGUCUGCCGUGAAAGUCCCGGGGGCUCAACUCCGGAUCUGCGGUGGGUACGGGCAGACUAGAGUGAUGUAGGGGGAGACUGGAAUUCCUGGUGUAGCGGUGAAAAUGCGCAGAUAUCAGGAGGAACACCGAUGGCGAAGGCAGGUCUCUGGGCAUUAACUGAC